rnacentral:rRNA from 1 species
UAGGGAAUCUUCCGCAAUGGACGCAAGUCUGACGGAGCAACGCCGCGUGAGUGAAGAAGGAUUUCGGUUCGUAAAACUCUGUUGUUAGAGAAGAACAGCGCAUAGAGUAACUGUUAUGCGUGUGACGGUAUCUAACCAGAAAGCCACGGCUAACUACGUGCCUGCAGCCGCGGUAAUACGUAGGUGGCAAGCGUUGUCCGGAUUUAUUGGGCGUAAAGCGAGCGCAGGCGGUCAAUUAAGUCUGAUGUGAAAGCCCCCGGCUCAACCGGGGAGGGUCAUUGGAAACUGGUUGACUUGAGUGCAGAAGAGGAGAGUGGAAUUCCAUGUGUAGCGGUGAAAUGCGUAGAUAUAUGGAGGAACACCAGUGGCGAAGGCGACUCUCUGGUCUGUAACUGACGCUGAGGCUCGAAAGCGUGGGUAGCAAACAGG